rnacentral:rRNA from 1 species
CGGGAAACUUGCCUUGAGAUGAGUCUUCCCUGACCCUUAAAGGGUCCUAAAGGAACGUUUAAGACUAAGACGUUGAUAGGUUGGGUGUGUAAGCGUAGCGAUACGUUGAGCUAACCAAUACUAAUGACCCGUGAGGCUUAACCUG